CCUGGCAUCCUUUUCUGUGUUCUACAGGAGAAACCCAUUGAAACCGACAUGGCAACCAAGGCUUUAGCUUUUCUGCUCCUUGCUUGUUGUCUGGCAUUUUCAGUUGAUGCAUUUCGAUAUCAACAAUGUCCAAAGGGAAGUCUGCAAAGUGGAAUUUGCAGUCCACCUUACUGGAAGUGCCAUGGUUGGUAUGAAACCUGCAUUCCCGUCAGCAAAUAUUACGGAGUUUGCUGCAAGAGAGUGCACUAUCAAGGAUGGUAUUGAAGCGUCCUCUGAUGGGUUUCCGAUGAAGAAUUAUUAAAAUAAAAGCAACGAAUCACCGCAAUCUUUUGUUUGUUUUUUUUUCACUUUA